UACAGAGGUCUCAAGCGUUGUUCGGAUUCAUUGGGCGUAAAGGGUGCGUAGGCGGCGCGGUAAGUCGGGUGUGAAAUCUCGGAGCUUAACCAUGUGGUCUGCAGUCGAUACGGGCAGGCUAGAAUUCGGUAGGGGAGACUGGAAUUCCUGGUGUAGCGGUGAAAUGCGUAGAUAUCGAGAGGAACACCUGCGGCGAAGGCGGGUUGCUGGGCUGACACUGACGCUGGAAGCGCGAAAGCUAGGGGAGCGAACGGG
rnacentral:rRNA from 1 species